CUAAUGAGUCCUAAUGUCCUUAUGAAUAACAUUUUUUUCGAUAGGUGAUGGCUGCGGUUGACGGUGUCAAGAACAGAACCCGAGGGGAUCGCGUCCUCAUUUCUUUCACCGUGUUUCUCACAUACCCGUGCCAUAUGUCUCUUCUUUUUCAACGGUACCGUGAGCGAACGGGAAGAGAUCGAACUGGUCGUGGAGGGCACCCAUCUAUCAGGCGAAGAGGAUGCUGGCCUUUCGUGCAUCGUCACCAGAAGCCGCGCGAGAGGCCGUGCGGUGACCGACUCUACUAGCUAGGCCAGCAAGAGAAGUGAGUGAACACGACGUCGCUGAGGUUCUAACGGACUGUAGACUGACGUUCUUGCUGCAAGUAUUCAAUGAAGAGGUGUGUGGUGAGGUUCUAACGAGGCUAUCAGCUGACGAUAUUGCCGUA